GGGGCCAGAGGCUAUAGAGGAAGUCAGGGUGAACAUGGUGAGAGUGGAUUUGAUGGCACUGAUGGAGAGCAGGGAGAACGUGGAUUUCCUGGACCUUCUGGAGAGAAAGGCAGCAGAGGGAAACAGG